GACGAACGCUGGCGGCGUGCUUAACACCUGCAAGUCGAACGGAAAGGCCCCUUUGGGGGUACUCGAGUGGCGAACGGGUGAGUAACACGUGAGUAACCUGCCCUUGACUUCGGGAUAACUUCAGGAAACUGGGGCUAAUACCGGAUAGGAAUCCUUGCUGCAUGGUGGGGGUUGGAAAGCUUCGGCGGUUUUGGAUGGACUCGCGGCUUAUCAGCUUGUUGGUGGGGUAGUGGCUUACCAAGGCUUUGACGGGUAGCCGGCCUGAGAGGGCGACCGGCCACAUUGGGACUGAGAUACGGCCCAGACUCCUACGGGAGGAAGCAGUGGGGAAGAUUGCACAAUGGGCGGAAGCCUGAUGCAGCAACGCCGCGUGCGGGAUGACGGCCUUCGGGUUGUAAACCGCUUUCAGCAGGGGCGAAGCUUGUGGUGACGGUACCUGCAGAAGAAGCACCGGCUAACUACGUG
rnacentral:rRNA from 1 species